UGAAUUUCAUCGCCUAAGAUGACAACCAGAGCGUCUGGACGAAUAGGAACUUUUACCCAACCAAAUUCAUCGUUAAAAACUUCAAGCCCAGACACUUGGUCAUCUUGCAGUAUAAUUGUUAUAGACGUCGCAUCUGAAUGGGGUUUCAUACCAAGUAUAAGAUCAGCUUUAGAGCAAAGAGGGUAAUAGUUAAAUCGCCAAGUAAUUAAUCCUUUUAUUCCGUUGUUAACGAAGUAAAACUCAUCCAAUCCCAAGCUCCUUGCUACUGCUUUGAAGAUCUCAUCCAUUAUAAUCAUCACCUUUUCGUUAAACUCAAACAUCUUCUCCCUGACAACAAAAUAAAGUCGAAUUUGAUCAAUAAUAAUGAGAAAUAUAAUGUUCGUUUAAUUUGCGUAUAUACUUGAAUGAUUCUGGAUUUUGUGGCCAAAGAUCCAUCUUCCUCCCCUCCUCUGGGUGAACAUUGAGAUACAAUUUAUCAUUCCAAUCGAGUAUCUGUUCAUCUGAUAAAACAGGAUCGCUGCCAUAUCCCUCUUUAAACUCAUAAAUCUUCGAAUCAGCAAUAGUGUAGUUUUGUUUCUCUUUGGGUGGUAGUUUGAAGAACAACCUCUGAACGUUUCGAACCUCGUCCAUAAGAGAAGUUGGUAUUCCAUGCCCAAUUACCUGAGUGCGAUAAAUAAAUAUAUUAUACAUAUAACUUGAGUAGUUUGAUGGACUGAAAAAUGAAUGGAUUAAUGUUUAUUUCUUCAUGAAAUAACUACCUGAAAUAAACCCCAAAAUGAUGAAGCUGAUUUCAGCUUGGAAUCUUCGACUUGCCUCUGGUCCAAAUCCUUCGAUUCGACGUAGCUGAGGUCGAUGAUAGGAAUUCUACCAAGGGGAGAUUCUAAAUUUGGCCGAUCAGAUUCAUUUCGGAUGAAACGCUUAGUCGGUGAGCCGUCGUUCUUCAAUGCAAUCUCUUGAUCCUUUUCGAUUAAAUCCGCCAUGAUCUGCUAGCUAGCUUCACUUUACUUCGUUUGUUUAUUUCAAUAACAACGUAUAUAUCAGGGGCCUGCACUUAUUUUCAAUUAUUGAAGUAGUUGGGAAUAGUGAGUUAGCAAUAUUAUUAUAUAUUUUUUUUCAAAUUACCCAAGAUCCAAUGCAUCUAAAUUUUGACAAUAUUAUAGUAGAAAUAUUUAGGGAAGGAAUUAUCAGAACCACAUAAUAUAUUACUGGUUAUAUCGUAGUGAAAAUUAAAUAAAAAUAAGUAUACAUGCAAGACUGAAAGGCUAAUCCCUUAGAAACCUUAAUAGUUACUUUGAUCAAUUGAUCAGUUGAUCUUCCUGUUCAAUUCUGUACAAUCUAGUCUUUCAAUUCCUUCUUCGAUCUAUCAACUCGUCAACGGGGCCAAGUUCGUUCUCUAGUUCAAUUCAGAUAUAUAUAGGUGGAGAUUCAGAUAAAAUACCUUUAAAAAGAUAUCUCAUGAGAUAAUGAUACUGAUCUUCUAUUUUCUAAUUUUACUCUUGAGAUCUGUUCCACGUUUAUAAUAAAAAUAUAAAAUAAUAAGAACGGUGAGAUAAAAGUAUCUAAUGAGAUAUCUCAUUUGAAGUACAUCAUGAGAAUCGUUUCCUAUAUAUAUAUAGUUAGAAAAAACUUCAUACACUUUUUGUUAAUCCUCUUUGUGAGCUUUCUCAAUGAAAUAUUAUCAGUUCGUCCCUCGUUCAAAUCGAGAAUUUGAGACUCGGAAUUUGCAUUUUCAAUUUUCUUUGUAUCUUCAUGUGUCAACAUUUCGCGUAUCUCAAUAAAAAUAGAUGGUGAAAAUGAGGAGCUGAUAAAGAGCAUCAAUAUUAUUUUAAUACAGUAAUUUUCAGGUGUGUCGUACGUCGGUGUGCCAAAAUGCGUCGUACGCAUCCUGUCCUUUAAUUUUUAAUUCAAUAGUUAUAAUAAUGUAUUGCAUAAAACACUAACACAUGUACGAUGAAAAAAAUAUACAACAAAAAAGACACUAACUCAUGUACGACGAAAUAUCGAUCUAAUGGUCAAAAUUUUUUGACGCAUUGAAAUUUGACGCAUAGAAAACCUGCCUUAUUUUAAUACUACUUUCAACACACUAUUGAUAUCAAAAUCUAAAGAGAUAAAAAUGCUCAUUGGUUCACGGGCACAUUGAAAAAUAUAUAAUAUAAUAUUGCAAUGGAUCUAAAAAUCUCUAAUCCUGAAUAGUUCUGGUGAUACAGUAUCCCGAACCCGGUCACAACUUACCAGCAACUAGAAGUCCGGAUAGUCUGAGAUGAGUUGAGGUACCUAUUCUGGGAUUGGGGAGGUCCCAAGUCGAAUCCUAGGAAGAUCGACUUUCCCAAGGAUCGACUUCCCUGGAAUCGACUUUUGAACAAAGUUGAACCCCAGGAAAGUCGGAUCCCAAGAAAGUCGAUCUCUGGAAAGUCAACUUUGGGUUCUAAUCUGAUCAGUUAGGCAGUUAGGCAGUUACUUCCCAAAUGACCAGAUUACCCCCAUGAGAAUCCCUAUAAAUAGGAGGCACCUCCAUUCAUUAAAGGCAGGUCAUUUGGAGUGGAGAAGUCCUAGCGAAGCGAAGCUCUGCGCACUUGAGUUCCGGUCCGAUUUCCCGCGGAGUUCCCCACCUGGCGCUUGCUGAAGCGUCUUGGAGUACUGGUCGGGUUCCACCCUCAUCAAAACCCCAUUCAGAUGCACCCAGACACUUGGUCAUCUUGCAGUAUAAUUGUUAUAGAAGCCGCAUCUGAAUGGGGUUUUGAUGAGGGUGGAACCCGACCAGUACUCCAAGACGCUUCAGCAAGCGUCAGGCGGGGAACUCCGCGGGAAAUCGGACCGGAACUCAAGUGCGCAGAGCUUCGCUUCGCUAGGACUUCUCCACUCCAAAUGACCUGCCUUUAAUGAAUGGGGGGUGCCUCCUAUUUAUAGGGAUUCUCAUGGGGAUAAUCUGGUCAUUUGGGAAGUAACCGCCUAACUGAUCAGAUCAGGACCCAAGGUCGACUUUCCAGAGAUCGACUUUCUUGGGAUCCGACUUUCCUGGGGUUCGACUUUGUUCAAAAGUCGAUCCCAGGGAAGUCGAUCCUUGGGAAAGUCGAUCUUCUUAGGAUUCGACUUGGGACCUCCCCAAUCCCAGAAUAGGUACCUCAAUUCAUCUCAGGCUAUCCGGACUUCUAAUUGUUGGUAAGUUGUAACCAGGUUCGGGAUACUGUAUCACCAGUACUCCCCCCUCCUCUGCGUAUUAGAUAUCUUGGGAUACGUCUUUUAGUACUAUGGUCUAUGUGUUGGACCCUGUAUUAUCAGUAUUCCCCCUCUUUGCGUGCUAGGGUGUGGGCUAUCGGUGAUGUCCUGGGAUGCGAGAUCUUCUCUCACCAGCUCUCCCCCCCUUCUACGACCGUGAGGUUAUACCUAUGCUUCCAUGGAGGUUGUCCCAUACUUUUGCUAACUACUGUCCGGUUUGUCCUAGCCGAAGCAUUCUCCUUGCGCAGCUUGCCUAACCCGAUUUUCGAGCGGAACCCUGCUUGCCCACCUUGACGCUUUGCUGAGCUGUCUCCGAGCAAUGUUCGAGUACCUCUCCCCUCUUCUGUGUUUGGAGUUGAGUGUUGUCCCUUCUACCUAUUUGUUUUUAUAGGUGAAGUUCUCUUUUGAACUCUUGCCGCCUCCUUCUGCCCGCUGUUUCCGUGGCUGAGGUUGAGCGUAGUCCUUUGUCUACCUAUGUACUUCCAUAGGUGAGGUUCUCUUUUGAACUCUUUCCCCCUCCUUUUUCCCGCUUCUUUCGUGGUUGAGGUUGAGCGUAGUCCCUCGUCUACCUAUGUACUUCCAUAGGUGAGGUUCUCUUUUGAAGUCUUGCCCCCUCCUUCUGCCCGCUGCUUCCGUGGCUGAGGUUGUCAUUUGUAGACUUGUUCCUCGUCUACCUAUGUUCUUCCAUAGGUGAGGUUCAUUCUUGAACAAAUACCCCUCUGUCUACGUUCUUCUGUAGAAGGAGUCAGUGUCUUACUGAUGUGUCCCCCGUCUACCUACGUUCUUUCGUAGGUGGGGUUUAUUUUUGAACACUUAUCCCUUCGUAGGCGGGAUGUGUGUGCUGUUGCUGUAUCCCUCAUCUACCUAUGCUCUUCCAUAAGUGAGGUUUACUUUCGAAUACUUACCCUUCUAUCUACGUUCUUCCAUAGGUGGGGUGUAUGUUUUGCCAGUGUGUCCCCCGUCUACCUACGUUCUUCCGUAGGUGAGGUUCACUUUUAAACACUUACCCCUUUCUAGGUGGGGCGUGCGUUUUGCCGAUGUGUCCCCCGUCUACCUACGUUCUUCCGUAGGUGAGGUUCACUUUUGAACACUUACCCCUCUGUCUACGUUCUUUUGUAGAUAGGGCGUGUGUUUUGCCGAUGUAUCCCCCGUCUACCUACGUUCUUCCGUAGGUGAAGUUCACUUUUGAAUACUUACCCCUUUUUAGGUGGGGCGUGCGUUUUGCCGAUGUGUCCCCCGUCUACCUACGUUCUUCCGUAGGUGAUGUUCACUUUUGAACACUUUCCCCUCUAUCCACGUUCUUCCGUAGAUUGGGUUAAGUUUUUUUUUUUGGUGUGUCCCUCGACUUACCUACGUUCUUCCGUAGGUGAGGUUCACUUUUGAAUACUUUCCCCUCUAUCAACGUUCUUCCGUAGAUUGGGUUAAAUUUUUUCGGUGUGUCCCUCGACUACCUACGUUCUUCCGUAGGUGAGGUUCACUUUUGAACACUUCCUCUUUUAGCCUAUGUUCUUUUGUAGGUGGGCGUGUGUCGUGUUCCCCGUCUACCCGCGUUCUUCCGUGGGUGGAGUUUGCUUUUGAACACUUCCCCUUUUAGCCUCCGUUUUUAGUAGGUGAGUGUGUGUCGUGUUCCCCGUCUACCCGCGUUCUUCCGUGAGUGGGGUUUACUUUUGGAUACUCGCCCUUCUGUCUACGUUUUUUGUGUAGAUGUGGUGUGUGUUGUGUUCCCCGUCUACCCGCAUUCUUCCGUGGGUGGGGUUUACUUUUGGAUACUCGCUCUUUUGUCUACGUUUUUUAUAUAAAUGUGGUGAGUGUUUCUGGAUGGGGUACGCGUCCUGACCUUGUUACUACUAAAACUUUCUCCACCUACGUUCUUCCGUGGGUAGAGUUAACUUGGCGUCCUACUCUAUUACUGUGUUCAGCAUUUGUAGGAGUUCAAAUAUUUUAGAGUGGCACAGUUCAUUCUAUUGCCAUACCGUCAUCGAUAUUAUUCUUCCUUAGUUGUGUGAUCGUAAAGCUUCUGUAUCUUUCGGGUCCUUUCUGUUGUUAUGCGGAUUUCCGGGGUAUUUUUCCUAGACCCACUGCCUUGGUGAACUUCCACAAUAUUUCAGGAGUAUUUUUCCUACACCCCCUGCCUUGGUGAAUUUCGAGAUGUCAGGAGUGUUUUUCCUACACCCCCUGCCUUGGUGAAUUUCGAGAUGUCAGGAGUGUUUUUCCUACACCCCCUGCCUUGGUGAACUUCCACAAUAUUUCAAGAGUAUUUUUCCUACACCCCCCUGCCUUGGUGAAUUUCAACAUGUCAGGGUUUUUUUUUCUACACCCCCCCUUGUGUUGGUGAAUGGGGAGAAAAAGUUGAUCCCCCGUAAUGUUAAUUGAUUUUUGUGGAAAAGUCGAUCCGGAUAUUGCCUUUCAACUCUUACAGAAAAGUCGAUCCCUUGGGUCCUCGUGUUGACUCUUUUGUAAAAGUCGAUUCCUGGUGUUGGCCAAAAAAGUCGAGUUGUCGUGCUGGCCUUGGAAGGGUCGUCCUCCUGGUCAUUUUUAUUCUAUUUUUGUCCUUUUGUGCGGACCUGGGGUCUAUAAAUAGACCCUUUAAGUUCUCCUUUCCCUUCAUCCAUGGCUCUUCUUGUGAGUCUCUUUGCUGAUUUUAUUCAGGGAGAGAUUGAGGAGCUGAAUCGAAUUUUCAAUAUUUUGGAUCAUCGGUCUUUGGCCUUGGAUCUUCCUGCUCUGCGCCAAAUUAUUGUUGAGCGGCAGAGUGUUGAGGUUGCAGCUAGGGAAUCAAUCUUUGAAGAAUGGUCUGUUGGUGGCCUACCGAUUAUGGCUUCCCCUGCCGCCCCCUCUUAUGGUCGGCGCCGGAGGCGUCAUUGACGUGAUGGUUCUUCCCCUAAUCAGGUCCCUCGUCGCCGUAUUAAUUUUAACUAAGGACUUGUAAUCUUUUCAUUCUUUUACUUGUAACUCUGAAUAAAGAUAUUUUCCCUUCUUUACAUCUGUUUUACACCUUUGCUCUGAAGCACGUCGGUGUGCUCUGCGGGUAUACUUUGUCCUUUUUCUAAGGAUUUCAUUCAUGGAGAUCGAUUUUUUCUAAGAUGUCGAUUCCUUAAAGUCGAUGUUGUCUGUUGAUCGAUUUCAUCCUUUUCUGAAGAUGCCAAAGUUUAUACAGAAAGUCGAUCCCAUCCUUCUCUGAGGAUGUCGAUAUCUUAUAAAAGUCGAUCUCACCUUUUUCUGAGGAUGUCGAUGCUGUGUAAAAGUCGACUCUAUCCUUUUUUGAGGAUGUCGAAGUUUAUAUGAAAGUCGACUCUUUCCUUCUCUGAGGAUGUCGAUGUCCUAUACAAGUCGACUCUAUCCUUUUCUGAGGAUGUCGAUUUGAUUACUUGUGGAAUGUCGACUCUAUCCUUCUCUUGUGGAGGAUGUCUAUGUCCAUAUGAAUGUCGACUCUAUCCUUCUCUGAGGAUGUCGAAGUUGGUACUUGAGGAAUAUUGACUCUAUCCCCUUUUUUUUAUGGAGGAUGUCGAAGUUGGUACUUGAGGAAUAUUGACUCUAUCCCCUUUUUUUUUAUGGAGGAUGUCGAUAGUUGCCUUUUCUACAGAAUGUCGACUCUAUCCUUUUUUGAGGAUGUUGAUGUUUAUUUUUGAAAAAAUGUCGAGAUUUUCUCCUUUUUCCAUAGGGAUGUUAAUCUCUAACUUCCGAAAAAUAUCAAGAUCUGCCCUCCUUUCAUAGGGAUGUCGAUCUCUGACUUCUGAAAAAAUGCUGAGAUCUACCCUCCUUUCCUAGGGAUGUCGAUCUCUGACUUCUGAGAACAUGUCGAGAUCUGCCCUCCUUUUCUAGGGAUGUCGAUCUCUGACUUCUGAGAACAUAUCGAGAUCUGCCCUCCUUUUCUAGGGAUGUCGAUCUCUGACUUCUGAGAACAUGUCGAGAUCUGCCCUCCUUUUCUAGGGAUGUUGAUCUCUGACUUCUGAAAACAUGCCAAGAUCUGCCCUCCUUUCAUAGGGAUGUCGAUCUCUGACUUUUGAGAACAUGUCGAGUCCUCCCUUUCAGAGGAUGGGUUUGACUUCUUAUUGUCAACUUCUUUAGUUGACUUCUUUUUGAAGUGUUUUACGGACUUCUUUUGGGAGCUUUCUUAAAAUUGUUUUUUAACUCCUACUUUGUUUCUCGCAGCUUCUUGCUACCAUGUCCUCCAAAAAUGACUUUGUUCAGGUUAUCCCUGUUAUCGGUGGUGGUUAUAUUUCUAUAUAGGUGUAUGGUUCCAUCGUUACUUGGAUUAACGCGGAAGCAGCGGGAUCCUGGUUGGAGUUCUUUUCCUACCAUAUAUGGUCCUUCCCAACUUGUGCCUAGUUUGCCUUUGGAGCAUCUUUUUCGAUUGAUGCUUGCUCUUCUCAAUACUAGGCUUCCUUUUCUUAUCGCUUUAUCCUUGACGCUCUUGUCAUGACAUCUAGCGAUAUUUUGUUCGUAUGCCGCAUUCUUUGCCUGUGCAUUAUCCCGUAGCUCAUCCACUAAGUUCAGAGCUGUCGCAUAUGAUCUCACGUUCUCCUGCGUGUCAUAGGUCAAUACUCUGACUGUUGGGAUGCUAAGCUCUGUUGGGAUUAGUGCUUCCAUUCCGCAUGCUAGUGAGAACGGAUUUUUCUCAGUGGGUGUUUUUUCAGUAGUUUUGUAUGCCCACAGGAUCUCCGGUAGUAAAUCUGCCCACGCACCUUUGGCUUGUUCGACCUUUUUCUUCAGUCCCUGAACAAUGGUCCUGUUUUUGACUUCUACUUGUCUAUUACCCUGUGGUCUAUACACUGAUGAAAAAUGGAUUUUGGUGUCCAUGUUCUCGCACAAUCUCGUGAACUCCCCACCAGUAAACUGUGUUCCGUUAUCUAUCACUAUGUGCAUGGGAAUGCCGGAUCUGCACGUUAUGCAUUUGAAGACAAAUUUCGUUGCUACACCUUGUGUUAUCUUGGGUACCGUUAAGGUUUCAACCCAUUUGGGUCAGAGACCUUCCUCCCUGGUGUAUUCCGCAUACCCCCGAUGGAUCUUCUCUACAAUGAAUUGUCCUUCAUCUGCUGAGACACACUUCAUUAGAGGCCUAUCGUAGGAUUUUUUGUACAGAAUGUCCCUGAUUAGGCNNNNNNNNNNNNNNNNNNNNNNNNNNNNNNNNNNNNNNNNNNNNNNNNNNNNNNNNNNNNNNNNNNNNNNNNNNNNNNNNNNNNNNNNNNNNNNNNNNNNNNNNNNNNNNNNNNNNNNNNNNNNNNNNGUGUGGAUGCUGAGUCAACCAGUAUCUCUCUCUGCCCCCCUUUGAAAGCGGAUGCUAGCUUUUCCAGGGCAUCAACUGAGUUGUUGUGACUCCUUGGUAUUUGUUCUAUUUCCACCCUGUUAAAUUGCAACUUUAUUUUUUCUAUUGUAGCUGCUUACUGCAUGAUUAGAGGUUCUUUGACUGUAAACUCCCCUGUGAACUGCCAAGCUACUAGUUGAGAGUCUGUUCUGAUGAUUACUGAACAAGCCCCUGAUUUUUUGAGUAUUUUCAUGCCCUGGAUUACAACCUCGUAUUCUGCUAUAUUGUUUGUAGCUGAGAAUUGUAAUCUGAUGGAGUGUUCGUAUAUCUUUUGGUCCGGGGUGAUUAUUUUUAUUCCUAGCCCUGCACCAGUACUGCAGCUUGAGCCAUCAACCUUUAUCAUCCAAGGUUUCUUAUUACUUUCCUGAGUCAAAUCCACAAUAAAGUCUUCUACAGCCUGCCCUUUAAUGGCAGUGGCAGGGACAAAAUCUAAAUCAAACCUGCUUAACUCCAGAGCCCACUUCGUCAGCCUUCCGGAAGUGUCUGGUCUGUGGAGUAUUCUGCAUAAUGGAUGUUUUGUCAAGACUUUGAUUGUGUGAUUCAGGAAGUAUGCUCGAAAUCUGUGUGUUGCUUGGGUUAUUGUCAGGACUAUUUUUUCCACUGGGGGUAUCGUGUUUCUGCCCCCUGAAACAUUUGUCCAUACUAUCAUCCUUGUUAUGCGGUACUAUUAAUAUGGUAGUGGGUGUUUGCUGAGGAUUAUGAAGAAUCCGAUAUUAUCUCUGUCCCAUUCUCACCCCCCUAUGAAAAUUGAGCCACGUACCUUUGGUUUUUGGCGACACUAACCCCCUUCCUAGGAAAAGUCGACUUCAAAAGGCUAUCCCCCUCCUGGGAAAAAGUCGAUUUCAAAAUGUCUAUCCCCCUCUUGGGAAAAGUUGACUUCAAAAUGUCUAACCCCAUUCUUGGAAUCAACUUUAAAAAGUCUAACCCCAUUCUUCGGAAAAAGUCGACUUGAAAAUGUCUAACCCAAUUCCUGGGAAAAAGUCGACUUCAAAAAGUCUAUCCCAAUUCUUGGGAAAAAGUCUAACCCCAUUCUAAAAGUCGACUUGAAAAAGUCUAUCCCAAUUCUUGGGAAAAAGUCUAACCCCAUUCUUGGAAUCAACUUAAAAAAGUCUAACCCCAUUCUUGGGAAAAAGUCGACUUGAAAAUGUCUAACCCAAUUCCUAGGAAAGAGUUGACUUCAAAAAGUCUAUCACAAUUCUUGGGAAAAAAUCGACUUGAAAAUGUCUAACCCAAUUCCUGAACAAGUCGACUUCUGGAAGAGCUUUUCCUGAAAGCUGAGGAACUCGACUUUUUUGAAGAAAAGUCGAGUUUAAGACCUUAGUCGGAUCCUGAGUUGGAGAAGCAGCCUCCCUUCAGAAGAGUUGACUUUGCUCUGGGGAAAAGUCGGACCCUUUUUUCCAGCAAAAGUCGAUUCUUGUGCACUUGGGGACUUCCCCAAAAGUCGUAGCCUGGAAGUGUAGCUCCUUGAGGGAUCGACUUUUAUCCUGGAGAGAGAAAAAGUCGAUCCUUUGCCGAGCUGAUUUCCUCUCAAGACUCCCUGGCUGGUGACUUGGAAAAAAAUCGAACCCUUUUUUCACAAAAGUCGAGGAACUUUUGUCGUGAGUAACUUUGAAUCACAGACGGCGCCAACUGAUGAGGGUGGAACCCGACCAGUACUCCAAGACGCUUUAGCAAGCGCCAGGCGGGGAACUCCGCGGGAAAUCGGACCGGAACUCAAGUGCGCAGAGCUACGCUUCGCUAGGACUUCUCCACUCCAAAUGACCUGCCUUUAAUGAAUGGGGGGUGCCUCCUAUUUAUAGGGAUUCUCAUGGGGGUAAUCUGGUCAUUUGGGCAGUAACUGCCUAACUGAUCAGAUCGGGACUCAAGGUCGACUUUCCAGAGAUCGACUUUCUUGAGAUCCGACUUUCCUGGGGUUCGACUUUGUUCAAAAGUCGAUCCUUGGGAAAGUCGAUCUUCCUAGGAUUCAACUUGGGACCUCCCCAAUCCCAAAAUAGGUACCUCAACUCAUCUCAGGCUAUCCGUACUUCUAGUUGCUGGUAAGUUGUGACCGGGUUCGGGAUACUGUAUCACCAGUACUCUCCCCUCUGCGUAUUAGAUAUCUUGGGAUACGUCUUUUAGUACUAUGGUCUCUGUGUUGGACCCUGUACUAUCAGGUUUCAUACCAAGUACAAGAUCAGGUUUAGAGCAAAGAGGGUAAUAGUUAAAUCGCCAGGUAAUUAAUCCUUUCGUUCCGUUGUUAACGAAGUAAAACUCAUCCAAUCCCAAGCUCCUUGCUACU
rnacentral:lncRNA from 1 species